rnacentral:rRNA from 1 species
CCUACGGGAGGCAGCAGUGAGGAAUAUUGGUCAAUGGGCGCGAGCCUGAACCAGCCAAGUCGCGUGAGGGAAGACGGUCCUAUGGAUUGUAAACCUCUUUUGUCGGGGAGCAAAAGACGCCACGCGUGGCGUUCCGAGAGUACCCGAAGAAAAAGCAUCGGCUAACUCCGUGCCAGCAGCCGCGGUAAUACGGAGGAUGCGAGCGUUAUCCGGAUUUAUUGGGUUUAAAGGGUGCGCAGGCGGAAGAUCAAGUCAGCGGGAAAAUUGAGAGGCUCAACCUCUUCGAGCCGUUGAAACUGGUUUUCUUGAGUGCGGGAGAAGUAUGCGGAAUGCGUGGUGUAGCGGUGAAAUGCAUAGAUAUCACGCAGAACUCCGAUUGCGAAGGCAGCAUACCGGCGCUCAACUGACGCUCAUGCACGAAAGUGUGGGUAUCGAACAGGAUUAGAUACCCCAGUAGUC